rnacentral:rRNA from 1 species
UACGUAGGGUGCAAGCGUUAAUCGGAAUUACUGGGCGUAAAGCGUGCGCAGGCGGUUGUGCAAGACAGGUGUGAAAUCCCCGGGCUUAACCUGGGAACUGCACUUGUGACUGCACAGCUGGAGUACGGCAGAGGGGGAUGGAAUUCCGCGUGUAGCAGUGAAAUGCGUAGAUAUCAGGAGGAAUACCGAUGGCGAAGGCAGGUCUCUGGGCUGACACUGACGCUCAUGCACGAAAGCGUGGGGAGCAAACAGG